GGCUGCCGUGGCACCUCACGGAUCCCAAGAUAGUCCGGCGAGCGUCCAGUACCCGGGCGCGCUAAGGCGUCGCAGCACUAGGAGGUCGUGCCCGCACGGCGGCGGUAGUUCUGCUUGGCCGCGGCGGAAGCCAGCGACAGUAGCGUCCAUCGCCGUCGUACAUGCGUAGUCCUCGCCCGCGGAGAAGAAAGCACGAGAGCGAUCUAGGAGGGUCGUCGUUCAGUGGGAGAGGUGGUGCGGGAAAAGGACGCCUGAUGCCCUCAGUUUACGAUCGACCGGGAACUAGACUUACUUGUCUGGACGUUGGCCACGAACUAUGCCUUCGUACUUAUCACGUUCUCGAUCGUUUCAGUGGCUAGCGGUAUGUCUUACGGUUGCACCCUUCCACCUUCGUGUUUAUCUUCGUCACACUUCGACGAUAAAAAAGGAGCGGCCGAUGUCUAGUUCGCAGAACCAGUCGCUACACAAUGUAUGCAAUAAAGAGGUCGUGUUCAAGAGGGUUAGUCGUGUCUAAACCGCUGCGGGGGGAAAGCAACAGGAGAGCUACCGCCCUAAUGAAGGCAGAGACCACGUCGCUGCCGCAAGCCACUAACAAAGAGCGGAAGUCUUCUAUUCGAGAGUUUCGUGUUCUGAGAGAAGUCGAAUGACUUUUGAUGAAUGACUUUUGAAAGAAUGCGUGUUUUGAAGAACGCCUAUACAUUUGUACUUGACUGUCCUGUUGAAGUAUUAGAACGUGCAAAAAUUGAAUCCUGGAUGAUAAACAGAGCGGAGUAAGUAGAUGUACGCUCAGGAGAACUCUCAGUUAAUUACUGACGUAUACGAAACUAAACUAAGGGUGACUGAUUACCAAAGUACUGGACACAAAGAAAAGAGUAUAACCGACCAACGUACUGUUAACCACAAUCACUGAAGGAAAGCAAAUUCAAACUAAAUCAUAAACAUCCCUACGUAGACAUACUCCUAAGAGUAGUAAUUAACCACCCAACCAAAUCGUUUUUUUUACUGUUCACACGUACGUUGUUACCCACCUGAUACGUCUUAAAAAAGAUAUAAAAUAAAUACCGGUUACUCCUGACCACUGCCAACGAUGACUG
rnacentral:rRNA from 1 species